CCUACGGGGGGCAGCAGUGGGGAAUAUUGCACAAUGGGGGGAACCCUGAUGCAGCGACGCCGCGUGGGUGAAGGAGCGUUUCGGCGCGUAAAGCCCUAUCGGCAGGGAAGAAGAUGACGGUAUCUGACCAAGAAGCCCCGGCUAACUACGUGCCAGCAGCCGCGGUAAUACGUAGGGGGCAAGCGUUAUCCGGAUUUACUGGGUGUAAAGGGGGCGCAGGCGGAUUUUUAAGUCAGCGGUCAAAUCGUGGGGCUCAACCCCAUCCAGCCGUUGAAACUGGGGAUCUAGAGUGUGCGAGAGGUAUG
rnacentral:rRNA from 1 species